rnacentral:rRNA from 1 species
AGUGACAUAGAGUUAAACGGCCGCGGUAUCUUGACCGUGCAAAGGUAGCAUAAUCAUUUGCCUUUUAAAUGGAGGCUGGAAUGAAUGGCAAGACGGAAAUUUGACUGUCUCUUUCUUAAUAAUCCUAAAAUUGAUAUCCUAGUGAAGAAGCUGGGAUUUGUUCGUGGGACGAGAAGACCCUGUCGAGCUUUAACAGGCUAAAUAAUCAUAAAUUUUUUGUAAAAGGCUAAUUGAAUAAUGAAAAUUAAGGUAAAGUUUACUUUUUAUAAGAAAAGUGCUGUAUUUAGUGUUGUUUUGGUUGGGGCAACCGCGGAGAAAAAAAAGCCUCCGCUAAAGUAAAAUAAUAAAAGUAUUGUUUUUAUUCAGAUUUUUUCUGUUUAAAUGAUCCACCGGAAAGGUGAUCAAAAGAACAAGUUACCGCAGGGAUAACAGCGUAAUUUUUUUGGAGAGUUCAUAUUGAUAAAAAAGUUUGCGACCUCGAUGUUGGAUCGGGACUCCCAGGAGGUGCAGCAGCUUCCAAGGGUUGGUCUGUUCGACCAUUAAAGUC